rnacentral:tRNA from 1 species
GGAAGCGUGGAUGAGUGGUUUAAAUCAACAGUCUUGAAAACUGUCGUGGGGAAACCCACCGUGAGUUCGAAUCUCACCGCUUCCG